CUGCAUCAAGUCGAAUUUAAUUCAACGAAUCAGCAAGGAUCUCGUUACUCGGUCGCUCGACCUGCUAGAACUAGAAAUAGCAGCCAAAUCUUCCUCGGAUCAUACCCUUGGGUAAAAAAAACAGCGCGUUAAACAGAAUCACUCUAGAUAGCUCUUAACCAAAAUACCUCCGUAUCUCCGACCCACCUCUACAUACUCCUAUCAUAAAACCUAGUCACAUUCACACGUACUUUACUAUUCCCACUAUGUCAACAAACAAUUGCCUACAACAACAUACCAGUCAAUCACAGCCAAUUACUCUCGCUGUUACACUCCCUGCUAUAAUUGUCGGAAGAGCAAGUUCAGCAUUAGCAUAAUUUGUUUAGUGAAUGUAUACUUGGGUCGUCUGUCAGUCAGAGUGAAACGGAACUGGGUGUUUGUAUGGAAGGAUAGUCGGGUAAUAAUUACGUUAGAUGUGAAACUUACGAAGAAAAACAGGAUGAAACUGCCAGUCUCCGAGAUAAGAUAAAAUUUCUACAUCCUGAUAUAAACAUUAAUUUUUACACAAGAUUGCACAUGGUUCCGUGUUCAAUCCCACUGCGUGGCACCUUGAAAUUGGUAUACAAAAUUCGUACCCACGGAUCUUAUGAAAAUGAUAACAAUCAAACUAUGUUGAGUGAUUUUCUCGUAGGAGUACAAACUGGGUCAUUCUGCUGCAGAAACUCUACGGAAUAUCAAGCGGACCUUUGGUAAUGGUUUUGUUGACAUCAGAACUGUUCAGAGAUAGUUCUGUAGUAACGCCGUGCGCAUGC